rnacentral:rRNA from 1 species
GAUGAACGCUGGCGGCGUGCUUAACACAUGCAAGUCGAACGGAAAGGCCCAAGCUUGCUUGGGUACUCGAGUGGCGAACGGGUGAGUAACACGUGGGUGAUCUGCCCUGCACUUCGGGAUAAGCCUGGGAAACUGGGUCUAAUACCGGAUAGGACCACGUCUUGGAUGUUGUGGUGGAAAGUUUUUUCGGUGUGGGAUGAGCUCGCGGCCUAUCAGCUUGUUGGUGGGGUAAUGGCCUACCAAGGCGUCGACGGGUAGCCGGCCUGAGAGGGUGUACGGCCACAUUGGGACUGAGAUACGGCCCAGACUCCUACGGGAGGCAGCAGUGGGGAAUAUUGCACAAUGGGCGCAAGCCUGAUGCAGCGACGCCGCGUGGGGGAUGACGGCCUUCGGGUUGUAAACUCCUUUCGCUAGGGACGAAGCGUGUUUGUGACGGUACCUGGAGAAGAAGCACCGGCUAACUACGUG